GUGCUUCACAGUCUUCACGCCAAUUGCUACACAAAAUGAUGUCUCGCACAAGCUUAAUACUUCUCCUUAUCUGUUUUGUGUGCGUCGCCGAGAUUACAAAUGGGCAUGUCACUGAGGGAGGAAGAUUUGAACGAGCUGCAGCCCAUAAAACAUGUUCGAAGAAAGGCGAAUCUUGUAAAAGCUAUGAUGAUUGCUGCGGUGGUCAUUGUAUACCAUUCAAGUGGAAAUGCGCUUCUUAAAUAAUUUUGUUUCAAAUGAAUCAAAUAUUAUAUUACUUAAUAAUUUUACGAAUCGGGUCAAGGGUUAAGAUUGGUUAAAUCAAGUGGUUUUUCUUAAAAUUAUUCUAUCAAUUAUAAAUCUGGAAUAAUACAGUUUAAUUAUAUAUAUUUGUAAUGUUAUAUUGUUAAUACAAUAAAUUGUAAAUGAAAUCUA